rnacentral:lncRNA from 1 species
GUGUUUGAGAAGCAUGGGCACAAUGUCUGAGAUAAAUAAAGCUCCCAGUGAAUAGUGAUGCUAUUGUUAGCAAUAACGUGACCGACAUGCAGAAACACAGAAGUUCCUAAUGCCUUCAUUGUCCAUGAACUGCUGUCUGCUGCUGUGGAGAUGCCUCCACAGUGCUCCAAAACUCCCCUCAGCACCCCACAGCUGCUCUCCAAGCCAGGCAGCAGGUACACGUCAAGAAUCGGACUCCUCGCUGCUUGUCAGCCAGGGAUCCCAGGAUGGGACAGGCUAGACUACACCAAGAGUGACAAGAACCUGUUGCCAGUGCCGAUCCUUCAUCCCAGGAUUGCAGGCAAUGGUGAGGACGGGUAUGUGCUGCCUGAACUUCUCGAUCUUCAACUUGACGUUCUCUGCUAAGCGCCUGGGUGCAGGCACAUCAAUCAAGGUCUUGGUCAACUUGUAGGUUGUUCUCCACAUAUUCCCUAUGUCCUCUGCAAUUUCCUCAGCAUUCAAUAAAAAGAGGGGGCCUGGAACAAAGAGAAGUUCAGACUAUAAUGGAGAUGCUUGUCAUGUGUUAAUUCCCUGGACUCGAGAACUGUGUCAAUUGUACUGAAAUGAGCUGAGGUUCUGGGCUAGGGCCUGGAUUGGAAGGAAGCCUUAGCCAGUAAAGCCUUGUCCAGACCUCUACACUAUUACCUGCCAUCCAAGGUAACAACAAACUCCUGGAAGGAUGCCUGUGACAUGCAAACGUCAUGCCUGGCAUAUGAAAGAUGUACACUCAGGCGGAGGGGCUAGUUGUUCAGUUGGUUUUUAAAUAGUCUUUAAAUAGUCAUUAAAUUAGCUUCAAAUGAAAUCUCAGUAGUAUUAAAAGGAGUUUCAAAUUGUGAAAUAACAGUUUGAGAAUGGGAGCCUCUAGAGUUCUAAGAAUUUUAGUAAAAGUUUGAAAUCAUUAAACCAACAAAGAAAUACAAAGACUAUGGCUCAGUGGGUAAAGUGAAGGCCUGAGUUUGGGUCCUCAACACCAUGUUAAAACAAACAACAAACAAACAACAUAAACAAGCUGGGUGGGAUGCAUGUGAUGAGGUAGGGGAGACAGGUAAACUGUGGGGACUGUCUUGACAACCAGUUUAGUCAGGAUGGGGAGAUCCAUGCUCAGUAAUCCACUUUCCUUUCCCCUCUCUGUCUCCCAUACCCCAGCCCUAGAAAUUUUAAAUGAGUGACACAUCAGUACUUCAAAAUAUUAGUUUCUUUCAGGGGGUGCAGGUAAGGAGUUUUAGCAUUUGGCUUUCACAUUCAACCCAAAUCUUCCCAUGGCACUGCUCCUACUUCCUGUUGGAACAUUCUAGAUUAGCAUUACUUCCUGCAUUAUGAUACAGCUAACUGACUCAUAAACACCCCCAAGUCCCCAGGGCUGCUUAGAUCAAAUGCAAAUUCGCCGCUCACUUAACACAUCUUUGCAGUUCAGUGUUUUUGCCAAAUCACUAAAACCUAAAUCUUACAAGAAAAACUAGGUGCUGGCACACUGAGUUGGUAUAGAAGCCACUUCCAGGAUGAGGAGUGGCCCCUUCUUCCUUCCUUAUGUGUCCAUUAUGUUCUGUUGAUUCUGCCCACACGAUGCCUCCCUAGACUCCAGAGCCUAGAGUGAAGGGUAGAUUUUAGAUGUUCCCAUGGCACUCUGACCCUUCUCAAAGCAGCACCACAGAGGAGCAAUUCUCAAUCUCUUUCCUGCUUCUUGUAAUCAUCAGUAUGACGAAGACUCUGAGUGCUGAUCUGAUUUAAAUCCCUUAAUGGGUCUCUUGCUUUUUGGUUCCUUCUCUCCUCUUUUUAUUACAUCUAAAAAUAUAAACUAUGGUUGUCUUCAUCCUGAGGGCUGGAAUCCAAAUUGCAGAUCUGGUUUCAGAGCUGGCUAGGUAGACUCUCAUUCCCACCUCCAUCCCUGCUGUCCCAGCAGCAUUUGAACUUAGCAUACCAUUCAUCCAUUCCUCUGAUUUGGUGCUGAACUCAUAGGCUGUGACCCAUAGCUGCUCAUAGGGAAUUUUGUUGACCAUCAGGACUUGCAGAAGAGGGAAGGAGCUCUUCUCCUUCUCCAGCAGCUCCUCUUCCUUGUUGAUCAACUGUGAGGAAAGGAGGAGGUUGUCUGUCAGAUAGGUGGUUCUCUUGAACCCCGGAAACCUCCACGACAAAUUCCUUAGCCCCAAGAAAGCCAAGUGGAGAAGGCAGAUGUUCAUUCAAUGGGCAGACUUAGCAAGAAGGUCCUUCUACUGCCUCUGAGGGCCAUGGUUCCUGAGGUCUAGCUGCUGGAAACUGAUACUGUGAUGCUUGCUCUGUCAUUGUUAUCCUAACACUCAGUAGAUCUGUCGUCAUGUUCAUAAUUUCUACAUGAAACCUACUUGUUCAUAUGACUGUUUACAAGCCUUCUUACAUUAACUUGCCUCAACGGUAAGAAUUUCAGUGUUUAAAGACAAAACAAAACAACUUGUUAAUUGACCUUUGGAGAAGGUAGCUUAGUGGCUCCAAGUCUCUUCCCCCAUACUUUAAUAAGUGGGGUGUUGGGGUAACAAACCCCAAACUAUACAAAUCCCUUUCCAUAUCACUCAGAACAUAAUGGAUACACAACAGGCAUAAGCAGUUACCUUGCUCUAACAUCUUUGGCUACUUCAUGACUUACAAAUGCCUGUUGAAAUAUAGACAACAUGUUGGGAAAGGUAGCUGAACAUACUUGAGAGGACGGGCCAAGCAAACAGUGCUGUGCACCUGACAGCUGUUGUGUGCAUAAACUAAGAAUCAAAAUGACCAGCCCUUAGGGUCCCAAGUCCCUAUCGUGAUGUUCCAAACCUCAAAUUCUGUCAGUGCCAGAUCUAGGUUCUUUGAGAGGUCGUUAAGCUUUUCCACAUUAUUCUUCAUUUCUUCGGUAGUCAUCACUUCACGCUUCCUGAACAUUUCCAGCUCUUUGCUGUAGCCUUCGAGUCUGGUCUCAAAUUCUGAGCACCUGAAAGCAAAGACAGCCCAUUACAUCGGAAUCUCCCAUUUUCUGCUCUUCCCAAGUUAUCAUCCUGGGAAGGGUUUCUCCUUUUGACACUUCCCUGACUCUGCACUUAUCUAAAGGCAAGCAAAGAAUAAAUAAAAACAAAACAAG